rnacentral:rRNA from 1 species
AGUGAACGCUGGCGGUAGGCCUAACACAUGCAAGUCGAACGGCAGCACAGUAAGAGCUUGCUCUUACGGGUGGCGAGUGGCGGACGGGUGAGGAAUACAUCGGAAUCUACUUUUUCGUGGGGAAUAACGUAGGGAAACUUACGCUAAUACCGCAUACGACCUUCGGGUGAAAGCAGGGGAUCUUCGGACCUUGCGCGAUUGAAUGAGCCGAUGUCGGAUUAGCUAGUUGGCGGGGUAAAGGCCCACCAAGGCGACGAUCCGUAGCUGGUCUGAGAGGAUGAUCAGCCACACUGGAACUGAGACACGGUCCAGACUCCUACGGGAGGCAGCAGUGGGGAAUAUUGGACAAUGGGCGCAAGCCUGAUCCAGCCAUACCGCGUGGGUGAAGAAGGCCUUCGGGUUGUAAAGCCCUUUUGUUGGGAAAGAAAAGCAGCAGGUUAAUACCCCGCUGUUCUGACGGUACCCAAAGAAUAAGCACCGGCUAACUUCGUG